rnacentral:RNase_P_RNA from 2 species
ACGUUCGGAUAAUCGCUGCUUUAUGCAGAGGAAAGUCCAUGCUCGCACGGUGCUGAGAUGCCCGUAGUGAUCGUGCUUGGUGAAACCAUAAGCCAAGGCAAGCUUUUUUAGCUUGACGGCAGGUGAAUGACCUAAGUCUUUUAGAUAAGGUGAUUGUACCUUGAAAGUGCCACAGUGACGGAGUCCCCUUAGAAAUAAGAGGAGUGGAACGAGGUAAACCCCACGAGCGAGAAACUCAAACAAUGGUAGGGGCACUUUUCCCGAGUAAAUGAAUGAGGGAAGAGACACGCGUGUUAGUUUCCGUUACGGUAAUUGGUAUGCGGUGUAGAUAGAUGAUUAUCCCUUUACUGUAACCCUGUACGCAGUAAAGGACAGAACAUGGCUUACAGAA